UCAAUUUUUUUUUUCUUUUUUAACAGAAAGAAAAGCUUGUUUGGUAGAGUGAAGCUGGGGAUGGAGAGGUAGGAAAGCACUAUCUGGGGAGGUGGCAGACUCACAGUUCUUACUCAAAGCACAGGUAAAUGUCAUCAGCUCAGAAAACACAAAGGAUUCAAUAUCUGUCAUUUGUUUGGCAUAUUCUCACCUCACUUGUAAAAGCCAAUUCUUAUCUGUUAGAAUGGGAAAUGAUCUUUCUAAACACAAAGUGAAUGUAAAUAGAUACCUGUGAGCUCGUCUGUGCAGUUGUUUCUUCCUGGUUAUACUGGUCUAAUGAGAUGAUUCAUAUUAAACCAGGGUGGACAUUCUGAUUUUAGGUGAAGACUGGAUCUUGUCAGAAUAGCUUAAAGAAUAUGCAGCAAUAUACAGUAAAAAAGAAAGAUCUUGAUUUCAGACACAAAGUGUCCUCCUGGGAACUACUCCUUGUUUAACUAAAGAGGUUCAAAGUCUCUCCCUUUCUAUUAUAACUAUCCCAUGUUGAUCAGCCGAGUUUGAGAGGCUGAUCCCUGCUGCAUGACAUUUGCCUUCAUUUGAAAAGAUGCCAACUCAGCUGACAAGUAUUGUGACUGUAAUGCCUUAAACAUUAACUAUUUCACUUCUUAACAAAGCACACAAGGAAAUCAAAGGACCAGAGAGCCCGAAGAAGCACUUCCCAGAAUACAGAGCGAGCUUUGCUGCUGCUAUGCAUAAAAUGAAUAUAUUUAAGCCUACCUACAGCUAAACUGGAAGGAAGUCAGAGGGUGGGCACCAGAUGAACUAAUUUUUAUGAAAAGGAACUUUGAGAGAUCAAGUUGCUGAGAACAGUUUGUCUCAAAGUAUGACAAGGGAAAAGGAUGAUAAAGGAUGCAGGGACAGGUAAUCUGCUGAAUUCAUUGCACUGCACAGAAAUUAUCCCACGACAAACUCACUAUCUGUUGAUGAAAAAGAAGUUUCAAAAUGACAGAAGUAGGUAGUAAUGACUGCUGUGGAUGAACUAUAUUCUGUGGUUUUGGAGGAAUUCUGGGAGAAGCCUUCUGUGAGAGGUUCAUGAAAUAAUUACUGCCUGCUUUUUGAGCAUAAAGUGAUGUAAGAAGCAAAGCUGGAAAUGACCUCUUGAAAAGGGAAAACAUGUAUCAUCAACUAGAUCUGAACCUAGCCAUCUCCAGCUUUCCAGAGCCAUCACAACAUGUUCUCCAGUGCAGAGUAUACCUGGCACACAUAAAUCCUCACAAAAUGGAGCAAAUCCAGCCUAUUGUACUGUAAAGAUUUCCCAUGCAACUGCCUGAGAAGUGCACAUGGUCAGCAACAAGCCAAAAUUACUCUGGUCACAGAGUUAAUUAAUUAAUUUCUCUCCUAAUUGUCCCCAAUCAAGGCAGGGCUGAUCAUUGUUCUUAGAGUUAAAAAUUAAGAUUCUAGCUCCCAUGACACAUGCCAGAUCAGCAGGAAAUCAACACAGCUCCUUACAGCAUCUGUGAAAAUCUAGAAACUCUGGAUGGAAAAGGCCUAUUAAAUCAUCUCAGUGUGUCUGGGUCCAAGAUUGUUCCUAGAACUGGUUAUAUAUUUCUCAGCACCCCAGGAAAGCUUGGCCACAGCUAGCCAUUUGCAGCAUGAAGCUGCAACAGCUCAGGGCUCCAGGUAUGAGCAGGGGUACAGAAAGCCUGGAAAGAGAAGUUUUGUUGAUGACCACAACCAAAUUAAGCUAAACAGAUGCACUGUUUUGGGAUUAGUUGUCUUAAACAUUUCUUUUAAAUUAGACAGGACAAGGUAUGUGCCUUUUAAAAUAAACUGAAAUGGGCAGAAUUCAUAUCAGACAAUGACCAGUUUUUUAUGUAAGAUGCACUGGCAAACCCAGUUAUGGUGCAGUGAAAUUCUCCCUCUGGUCAGAUCCUUAAAGACAUUUUCUCCUAGAGCAUUCAGAAUCAAAUGUGCAUUUAACUUUUCUUUCCAUUUCACACUCCAUUUCUAGUGAUUAAUACUUGUAUUCUAGAUGGAUGAAAGCUGAAACAGAUGUUAUCCACUCACAAUGCAGUCCUGAUAACCCUGAGCUAGAGGCUGAAAUCCUUAGCAGAUUAGCAACUGAAAUAAAAAAUGGAUAAGUAAAGUGGGGAGUACGGCUGAACAAACUCUUAUAGGUUUUAUUUCUGUGGAUAACAAUGCACAGAGGCUAUGUAAUCUCUAUGCUGAUCUGCCAGAGGAAAGAUUAAAUGGCAAAAUUCCAGCACUGAAACUACAAGUCUUCUCUGCUCUACUCCCCCAGUGAGAACACCAAUUAUAUUAGCAGAAUAUCACUGUGUACACUGUACUAUGUUGAUAAGAAUGUGGAGUUUUCAGCUAAUUUUCCUCUUGUUUUAACCAAGUAAGUUUUUCUGAUACAUUCCUAUGAGUUUAUGGCAUUUCUGCCAUUAGAAGUACUUGCAGCCACUUUGUGGUUCAUCUGGUGCUGAGCAGGUUAGAAAAAAUAUUUGAAUUUUCACUGAAGUGAAACUGUGACUGGCUUUUAUCAAACAAGAAGACACAAUUCUUCAUGACUUCGGAACAUUUUUUCGUAAUUCUUGAUUCAAAUUUAGGAAGUAUGUUGUAGCAAUUAACCUGACAUUGCUUUGUCAGGGAAAAAAAUAUUCUCCCUCCCUUGUUCUUUGCCUCAGAGAACUACAAUAUGUCAAAAAGCUGUGUUGUAUUAAUCUAUAGAAAAGACAAACCAAUUCAGCUGAGAACAUGCUAUUGGAAACUAGAGGAAAGGAGGAGGUCUGCAACAUCAGUACCCUGAAGAGCAGAGAACUGGCUAGAAAUCUACCAACUAUGAAGCUCAACAUCAUCUAACCCACCCUUUUUUUUUUUUCCUUGUUUUUAUUUUUUUCUUUUUUAAAGACCCUCCAAUUACUUUCUUUAAAGCCCAGGAAUGGGAACAUGGAUGCAAUAAUCUAGUCCAUUACCCUGCCUCAGACAGUAGCAGAUGUUUCUGGGGAAGGAACCAACAACCAGCAAUAGACUGGUGUAAGAUAAUCUUACCCCCCAUAUCAGAUCAAAUCACAGCCUAGUUUUCAGGAGUUAAGAGACUGGCUAAAAGCAAAGCAUGUAAAAUCCUUUUGAGAGGGUUUUCUACUCUGGCCACAUCACUGAUGAAUUUCUUUCCAAUAUCCGUCAUGGGGAGGAGUAUCCUUCAUAUAUCUGCUUUAUGUAUCAGAGCAAGUCCCCUAAAAUAUUUAACAUUGGAGAAAAGAUGCAAUACAGUAACUUAAACCACCAUUUCCAACUGGAAAGAAGGACACCCAGAUUGCUGUGUAUAACUUGUUCUUUGUGGAAUUCACAGUACAAGCUGCUUGAGGACUCUUACAUCAUUGCCAGAUCUGUGCUACUUCCAGGUCUAUCGAUAAUGCAUAAUGAAUCAUAGCAAAGCAAUUGGAAAUCCUGGCUCUUCCUCCUAUUCUUAAGAAAAGGCCUAAACACCUAGACAAUAAAUUAUCUUAAAUUAUAUUAUUUAAAAUUAUAUGUUAUUUAUAAUGGAACAUUGACAAAGAUAUAGAGCAAAGAGCAAGAAGAUGAACACAAUCUUUUAAAGGUAUGUUAUAAAGAAACACCUCCAAACUUACGAAUCCCUUCCCACCACCACCUCCCAAGAAUGUUUUCAUUUUGUCACAGAAUGUAGGAUGACUUAGAUGAGGAAUAACACAACAUUGCAAAUUGAAGGUAUUUAUUCUGUGAUGCAAAAUUCUCCAGAUCUUUAGUCCUCAGAAGGCACAGGAUUCUGUGACUCCAAAUUGAUUCUAACCUCCAGCCUCCACCUCCUGAGGCUGCAGUUAAGAUCCCAGUUAAAACUUACUAACCUACACCUUUCCUGGCUCUUCAGUGACACCUUCUGGGACUAAAAUAGAUCAAAUCAGUCUUAGUUUUUCUGCAGCUCUUUUUACCUGUAAAUAGGAGUCGAGUGAGAUUUUUGGAAGCUAGUUGUGGAGAAAUGGUGAGCCCACAAAAAAUGCUAUGCAAAUACAGCUGCCUGGCCCUGAAAAGCACAAUCUCUUUGGAGACUGGGCAGGAGAUGAGUCCCAGCUGGCCACAAAUCUGUAAGUUUUCACUUCUCCCAACACAUAUUUUCAUUUCCUGAAAUUGCUAACUGAGGAGAAAAAAAAAAUCACACUUGAACAGCUGGAUCUUCCUUAUAAGAGCAGUAAGGAUGAAGGUGGAAGUUUAUAUUGAAAUAUCUUACUUUUAGUGACAGCGAUGUUAUCUUUGCUUGAAGGCAGGUUUUAGAUGCAUCUGUGGUUGGACUCCAGGGCACAACUCUUGUAUUUCACUCUGGCAGCAUUAUAAAGGGCUGGACUGCAAUUCCCACUCCCAAGCAACCCCAGUCAUAAAGGAUGGGGCACAUAGAGAGGUUCCCAGAGCUGCAGGGGGAAAGACACCUUUUUAUCCACUCUCAGGGGAACAUGCUGGGAAGACAAGGAGGCUUUGCUAGGUAGGAUAUUAAGUCAGUGGGGCUGGAGCUUAGCUGAGAAAAUGAGCAUGUUUAGCAGAGGUCUGAUCCAGACUACUCACACAUGUGCAACCCCAGAAUUCAGUGUUACUGUGCAAAUUUACUGCCACUCAGAAAAGUAAAAACAUCUCAUUUUCUUCCAUGCACAGUCUAUUGCAAAUAAAUGUAUCUUUGAUCACACUGUGCUCCAUUGAUGAUCCAUCUAGUACUUUUUGGUAUUUCCAUCCUGUAUGCCCCAGCCUAUUUAUUAAUCUUUAGCUUUUUACUAUCCAAUGAGAUAUCUUGGGCAACAGUUCUUUAUUUGUUUUGCAGCUACUGUUUCACAAAGAAAACACACAGUGAGUGAAAAAAAUUAUUUCAAAUCUGAGAUGGUCUUCAACACAAAACAUCCCUUUGUCUGAACUGAACUAAAAGGAAGGCAGAAGAGCAUCCUCUCCACCCAGGGCAGCUGGCAGUACUGCAGGGGUGACACGGAUGCUGUGCUCUGUGUCUAAAGGCAGAAGGCACAUCUUCUAGACAUGCCUUAUGCAGUGAAACACAGCCCUCCAUAAGGAACCCACACCUGGAAGCAUUCAGAGUCAGGACCCUGCUGGGAAGGCUUGAAGGGAGGAUUUAAGAGAUUUGUAAGCUUUGUGCCAGCCUUAGAACUGAGAUAAAUAUCUCUCCAGAAUACAGAGCUCUCUUAUUUUUCCUAUAGCACUCUUCACCCUAAAAGAGCUUUUUAGAGAGGGAACAAUUUUGCAGCCUGAAUGAAAUUGGCUAGUACAAAUAGAAACUAAUGUAACUAAACCUUGGAAUUGCAAAAAGAAAAGAUAAAUGAGACCCCAAUGCUACCAACAAUACGUUUAGAUAGUUUUCAUGUGGGACUGUUAACAAUAGAUGCUUUUCAAGAAUAAAUCCUUAUGCUUUCAAGACAUAUGUCUUUUCAAUCACCAGCUCUUUUAAGAGGUUCACAAUAAAUGAGUGCAAAGCAAAUUAAUGGAGAAUGUAAUGUCAUCACUUAACAUUCCUGAUAUUGAU